CCGAGUUUACAACUCCCAAGCCCCUGUGAACAUACCUAUACGUUGCCUCGGCGGAUCAGCCCGCGCCCCGUAAAAAGGGACGGCCCGCCCGAGGACCCCUAAACUCUGUUUUUAGUGGAACUUCUGAGUAAAACAAACAAAUAAAUCA
rnacentral:misc_RNA from 1 species